CUUUAAGCCCAUGCCCCCUGAUGCCCAAGCCUCUCGUUUAAUUAUCCGGCUCCUCCCGAUAACCGUUGAGAGAGAGAGAGAGAGAGAGACAGAGAGGGAUGAGAAUGAAAGGCGUGGGUAUGGAAGCCACAGAGAAAUCGAAAUUAGUGAUUCGCUGUGCUAAAGCUGCGCUCCUGCUAUCUGAGAUCAAAUCCUUUCCAAACCGCUGCACGAAUUGCGAGGAAUACGACCGAUUCGAGGGAGAUGAAAUGCUGAGGAGAAAAAUCGGAGAGCUGAAGAUUGCAUUAGUGAGAGAGAGGUUGAAAACCAAGAGAAUUAAGCUAUGUGGCUUGAUGGAGGUUGUGCUUCAAGUCGCGCUGGUUCUAUCUCUUUCCACGUUCUUCUUGACGCUCACGUAGCGCUCUCUCUCAUUGAUUGAGCUGCGAUGUGACGGCCAUGUCUACGUUUUCGUUGGUGUUUGAUUCUACUGCAUAUUUUAGUUUGAUUCUGCUAGUUAGUUCCAUUUAGAUCAUUUGCAAAUGCAGAAAUAUGAUUUUCUGAAAAUAGAUAAACUGUCUCUGUUUCCAUGAAGGAAUGAAAUCAUGUGAUAGUUUUUU